UGGAUUCAGUCGUCUAUAGUAACUGUUGUAUAUCUGACAUUAUUGGAACGUAGUUUUGGUCAUGACAACAUGGCGCUCAAUGGGGAAAGGUCAGCCCUCUCUGGGCUUUCCGACCUCAGAAAAGAAAAGGCAGAGGAAAAAGAGAACCUCUGGAAGAAGAUCUUAGGAGAGGUUCAAUCCAGCGAGCGCAAUAAGUUACCGUCUUGUAAAUCAGUCCUUGUGCUUGGUGAAAACGAAUCGGGUAAAACGACUCUAAUUGCGAAAUUGCAGGGUAAUGAAGAUCCAAAGAAAGGCUCUGGUCUAGAGUAUGCAUAUAUAGAUGUUAGGGAUGAAUAUAGAGAUGAUCACACAAGGCUUAGUGUUUGGGUACUUGAUGGAGACCCUAAACAUUCAGAGCUUUUAGAAUUUUCCGUUAAUGCAAACAAUUUGGAACAUACAUUGGUCCUGCUAGCUGUCUCGAUGACAACACCUUGGGCAAUCAUGGACCAGCUUCACACGUGGGCAUCCACUCUGCAAGAUCACAUAGACAAGCUCAAUCUUGAUCCCGAUAAGUUCAAAGAACAGCAAGACAGAAUGUCGCGGUUAUGGCAAGAUUAUGUUGAGCCUGGAGAUGAACUAGAAGCUGGGUCACCCAUGAAGCGGUCGUCGAGAAACCUAGAAAACGAUGACGAGCCUGUCUUGCCUCUCCCAGAGAACGUUCUAACCAGAAAUCUUGGACUUCAUGUUAUAGUUGUAGUUACUAAGACGGAUUAUAUGUCAACGUUAGAAAAGGACUUCGACUAUAAGGAAGAACACUUCGACUUCAUUCAGCAAUCAAUUAGAAAGUUUUGCCUUCAAUAUGGUGCGGCCCUCUUUUAUACUUCAGUAAAAGAGGACAAGAAUUGUGACCUGUUGUACAAGUAUCUAGUCCAUAGAAUCUACAAUUUUCCCUUCAGAACUCCUGCGCUUGUUGUUGAAAAAGAUGCUGUCUUCAUCCCUGCAGGUUGGGACAAUGACAAAAAGAUUUCCAUUCUUUAUGAAAACAUGCACACAAUGAGCCCUGAUGACUACUACACAGAUGUUGUAGUGAAGCCGCCUGUUGUACGCAAGGCUGUUGCCAGGGAGGUAGAAGUUCAAGCAGAAGAUGAGCAAGCCUUCUUGGCACGACAUCUGGCACAGCUACAGGCAGGGUGUACUGGCGCCCCCAAUACUCCCCAGGGACGUCAGGAAUCCCCUCUUAGACAAUCGCCAGCUGUUCAGAAGACCAGUGAACGUAGAGUGUCAACGGGUGUUCCGCCUAAUCAAAUUGGCUCUCCGAAAAAGAUCGAAUCAACAAAGCCGGGAGUUACUGGCGCCAACGAAGGUGUCCUUGCAAACUUCUUCAAUUCUUUACUUAGCAAGAAGACAGGAACAAAUCCACCUACCCCUGGGGCCAUAAAAACAAAUGAAUCUUCCCUAGACAUCCCGACUGCUUCCAAAUGUUGAAGACAUUGAGAGGAGCACCUGAAACGUCUGUUGAAGAGUUCCUCUCACCGGUUUAGCCAUCACAUAAAGCUGCUAUGCGAUCAGAUGCUGCUGCAGAAUUAGACCGGUUGACACGAUCAAAGAAGCCAACAGCAAAUAAUUCUACCGAGACAAACAACUCGUCUGAAUGUUGACUCUGGUCUAGUACCACUAUUAUUAACUGUGCUAAGAAAUGAUGUGUUGGUGCCCCAGUUUAUGUGAGGUGCACUGUAGUGGCCAAACAGCAGCCCAGGAAGUGGCAUCCAAGGCAUGAGGCAGUUGGAUGCCUGUCUGGUUGUUAUGUGCCAGAUUUGUCCUGGUCUUGGCCCUUAUAUUCGGGGUAUAAAAUGGGUAGCUUUUCAUUCCUGUAUAUGAUAAAAUGCUAUUUUAUUCUUACCUUAAAAUUUUAAGGGUACUAUCCUGAAAGUUUACAACUAAUUAGCAGCUAAAACGUUGUAUAAAAACAUUUCAGAGACUUCUAAAGCAAAUUUCUGCUUAGUAUAAUGUGACCUUUAAUAAAGCAGUGUGCCUCGGAGCUUGUCACAUCCACAGGAGAUUAGCGUCCGUUUAUCAGUAGUGGUAAAGUUCUGGUGUGUAUGUAAACCUAGCAUAGCAUUUGUGAGCCAGCUACCACUGGUAUUAUAUCAUGCAGGCUGUGCAGGGAGGGUCUAGCAGCCACUGGGAGCGUGCGUGGCAACCCUUGAAAUGGGGGGGGGAGGGGAGGGGGUGGGGUGGGGUGAGCGUUGUGUCCUGUAUCAUAUUUUCUUAUUUAUUUGUUAAUUUUAUAAACACUUGCUUCCUUGCUGUUAUUCUUGGCCUAUGAUGCUUGUGACACUCUUGUAUGUAUCUUAAGAAGCUUACCACUCGUGAGGGCUCUAUUUUUGAGCUCUGUACAUGCAACAUCAGUGAGAAAGAUUUAUGUAUAUUGCAAACAAGAUUUAAUUGUAGUUGACAUGUUAAAAUUUGCUACUCAGGAGUAUUUCUGUGAUUAUUUCUGACAGUGGCAGCGUAUAUUCUCCCGCUAUGGCAUGGCAUCUUUUGCAUUUUUUUUUUUCCUUCAUGUUGUACAACAAGAAAUGAAUAUCAUAAUUUUGUAUUACUUUUUUUCACCAAUUUUAAGAAUGAUUUGGAUAAAAAUACAGGCUUGUCUAAAAUUUUCAUUCUAAAGCUUAGAGUUACUGUCUUAUCUUCAAGACUUCAUUCGCAAGGUUCCUCAUCAUAUUAAUGAAUUAUGAAUGGAGAUUAAUUAUGAACGUGUAGUGUCAAAAUGUUAGUACAUAUUGCAACAUUAUACAGGGCUGGAAAUUUUGUUAUUGAUUGGGCUGAUUAUUAGGAAAAGAACUUUGUUUUUAAAUUAGCAUCGAGUGAUACGGAGCUUAUCAAAUGCAGCCAAGUUUUGUUCUUUUAACCUUCAUUUUUGGCAGGUUAUUUACUUGAUUUUGAUGUUGCCAGGAAAGACUGAAUAGCUAAAAUGUAUACAAGACCUGUAUUAUUGAGUGGAUGCAUUGUAGUAGGUCGGUAUAAUGUGGCUGGGUUUGUAUCGUCAGUCACAAGGAGCCUGUUGUGGUAUAUUUGGAAAGUUUUUUUUUGUAUUUUUUUCUACAUUAUUGGGUGUCGUCCCAUUGCAUCUUCUCAUGUCCAGUAUGAACAAGUUAUCUGAAGCUGUACAGUAUAUGGAGGUGCGAGUUACUUCAGGAUGCUAGUGCAUCACAAUUUAACCUAAAUGCCAAAGCUUAUUGAAGAAAUAUGUAUAUGUACAUAUAUAUAUAUAUAUAUAUAUGUAUAUGUCCUUGCCUAUCACCAUCAUUAUCUUCCCAUGUAAGUUUCUUCUAUUACCUGUCAUUCUGUUAAGUCUAGCGGUAAAUGUGUACUUGGGUUAUUGAGGUAGGGUUGUGUAAAGAAAAGGGUGUAAGGAAUUCUGUAGCAGCUUUAAUAAAUAGGGAAACUGCUGGUCUCGAACACAUUCACCAGUGAAAGUAAAUCAGAAUAAAUGUUAGUCUUAUAUUAAUUUUAUUAGAAUUAUUAUAAUUGUAUUGUUUGAUGCUUUUACAACAAGGUAAAGUGAUUGGGUAACUAAUCGUCUUUCUGGGAAGGUUAUGGAGGCAGAGUGCUUGCCAAGUAAGUCAAUUUGCUGCAUACAACUAUUGAGUUAGUGCUGUUCAGAACUGGUUAGCAAGAGGUAUAUACUCGUGAAGCAAUGCAUAUACAAUAUCACAAGAACGUGAUGCAUCUACAAGAAAAUGUUGAGGUCGUACAAUGGGGUUGAACCUGCAUCCUUAGACUCCCUAAGCACCCACACUACUGAUUUUAACCAUCAUGAGCUUAAAAGUAAGUCAAGUAGUACUUAUGGUUGAAAUAGUUUUAAGCUGGUCAUGAUCCAGUCAAUAGUGAGUGCACCAAGGAAAUCUAGGGAUGUGGGUUUGAUUGCAUCAAAAUACUUUCUUAAUGCAUACACAAGAAUGAAUGCAGGUGUAUUAAUUGGCAAGGUCCACAUGCUUGUUAGGCCUUUGGAAGUCCAGCUUUAUUAACCAGGUCAAGGAGAAUCACCUUAUUAACUAGUGUUGGCAACAGUACUUCAUCAAACACCAUGAUCUUCAUAGUUUAGAGAUGAAUCUUUGGUUGGGAAAACAUCUUAUUGGCUACUUGUCCCUAACACCCUAACAUAUAACAAAACUGAUGACUAUUGCCCUAGUUAUGGGUUGUCUGGGAUAUUAUUCAUAACCUGUAACCUGGGAUUCUAAAUUAAAAAUUUGUGUGGAACACAGAAUUAUGAUAGAAUAUGUUUAGCAAAGGAUUAUUUCUUGCCAGAUAUGAAGCCAAAUUAAACAUGUCAUUUAUCAGGAUAGUUUUAAUAUAUGGACAUGUUCAACUCAUUUCUUAAUUCUAAUUUAAUUCCUGUUAUGCAUUGUAUACUGUGUUGAUUCAAAUCCAAUGAUCAUUUGAACAUAAAAUGUGAUUUUAAUACUGAAUCUUGUUUUGUUGCUAAAGUACUGCAGUGUUUAUAAUAUUUAUUAAAAGAUCACUAAAAAAAAAUUCCUUUGUAUUAUAGGUCUAUUUUUCAUUUGCCAUAGUAGUAAAAUGUAAAAAUAUGGAAAUAUAAAAUUUGUGAUAACUUCA